GAGGGUAUAGCUCAGGGGCAGAGUGCAUGCCUAGUGUGCAUGAGGUCCUGGGUUCAACAUCCAGUACCUCA
rnacentral:tRNA from 1 species